AGGGAAGCCGAGCUAAUCUCUCACCUCCCUUCUAAUUCAACACUCAGAAAGGGCAGGUAGUAGAAGAGCCCUGGAGUCAUUGCUGCCUGUUGGAAGCUCAGUCAUGCUGGUCUCCACUGAAGUUGUACCUGCAAUGGUUGGUUCUCUGGGCAGCGAUCAGAUCCUGCUAAAUGAACCCUUUCCAGGAAGGAAAAGAACAUUUUCAAGUCUGUCUGCUGAUCCCUGGAUGCCCCAGGCUUUCAUACUUGUCACCAUGCUGAUGUGCAGGUUGAAGUGUGUUUCCACACUCCACAUGUCUUCUCUCCCAGAGACGAGGUCAGACAGCUAUUUCAAAGAUGGGUUAAAAAAAAAAAAAAAGGGAGGGCAUUGCCUACCUAAUCCACAGACUGGUCACAUGUCUGAUUUGGCAAAAUGGGUGAACAAAGUGAAAACAGGGCAAUUUCCCAGGAUCCAAUAAUUUGUGGUCAUGAAGACACCAGAAAACAUGGCAGGGGAGACAGAGAACCACGACUGGGCUGAUCCGCGUGCUCCGGGACCGCCAUCUAUGGGAAAAGCCAAGAAAGCAAAGCACAAGGAGCAACAGGUGCCUCCUAGAGAACUGAAAAUGCCUUUGAGAUGAGGUGAUGCUGGGUUGAGGAGAAGUGAGCCAAUCAGAUUUGUUGAAAGCCAGCCCUCAGUAAAGGUCAUGGCAGGACACACCUCAACAUCUCAAAUUAAGUCUCAGAUGCCAUCAGGAACUCCGGCUUGACUAGAUAGGAGUGGAAUUUAAAAUGAAAGCUUUCUAACCCGGAAACCAAAACGUGGUCUCUAAUUCUGACCCUGCCUUAUUGUAGUGGUUUUUGAACAUCCUAUGACCAAUGUGUGCCUCAGUAACCCCCGUUUUCAAGGUGACUUGUUGGGAGGGUAAGAGGCAGAAUAAAAGAGAUGAUGAAAUCCACCCUGCCAGCCUCACUGGUGUCCUAUAAAUUCAGAGACGAUAACAUCAGGACAUUCUUCUGAAUUACUUAAAGAAUGACAGAGAAUAAAUAGGAUUCUUUAUGACUGCUAUUAUGAUGAAAUUCAUAAAAUUUCCUGUGGGGGUGUUUUCUGAAAUCCUGAAACACAAUUUCAUUCUCAACUAUGUAACAGUUUUCACCUUGUCAAAAUUCUUAACAGAAAGUCCCCAGGACCCCGUCAUGGGAAAUUAAACCCCUGGAGAAGUAGAAAAGCUACUAGAAUAUGUCCUUCUGACCCCAAACCAGGAGUAGGUUAGUGCGGGAAGAUGUUUCGAGUAUGUUCAGUUGUGAACUGGGUGCAGCUGGCACCCCUUAACGGAUAAAACUGGUUCCAAGAAUGAGUCAUACUGAUUAUACCCUUGGGACAUCAUUCAUAAAUAUCAUCUGUCCCCAAAGACUUCCAAAACACAGGAGUCAUGGCAAAACACACACACAUAUAUACAUGUAAGCAAGACUUCUAACAAUCAGGCCAUUGUUCGCAGCAGAAAAACCAGGCACACCCUUUAUCUAAGAUAAAAAAGAAAAUGCAAAAAGCAAUCAAAUGAAACCUAUCUUGCUUAACCUGAAAAACAGCAGUUGGAUUAAAACAUGUCUAUGAUCCAUUUUCAGCAAGCCACUUUCCUGGGAGCAUUUCAGUGAGCAGGAAGCUUUUUGGGGACAGUCCUCCCCUAAACAAUGAAGUGCUCCUUGACACCUGUACUCAUGUCCCUUUUGUGGCUAACUUCCCAAUCAGUCCCAACCUCACUGAAGGGGCACAGCAUCUGGUUAAUUAAACCUCCUUCUUUCCUGUAAAAAUAUGUUAUCAGAAAGUAGUUUUUGUUUUGUUUUGUUUUGUUUUAUUAGGGAAUACAACUUAAGAAACAAAAGUUAAUUUCAGCAUUUCAGGCACCUACAGUCUCCUGGAGAGGGGGUGAGAUGAGGUGAAGGGGUUAUGUAUAAUCUUCUCCCUAAUUCCACAAGGGAAAACCUGGAUUCAGCACCUCACAGGAUUCCCUCCCACCUCCCGCUUCAUCCCUGCACAGAGCAGAAAGUCUCUAAAGGGCCAGCCGUACACAUGGCCAUUUGGUUCGACUGUGGCAUCUUACCCUAAACAAAACUCUCCCAAGUAUGCCUUUCUACAGAAAAUGACUGGCCUGAGAAAAGCUGGCCAGCCACAUAGUGUGAAGCCAGGUGCAGAAUAUGUUCAUCCUUGCUGAGCCUGCAGCAGUGGGGUAGAAGUUGAGAGGUUUCAGACUCUGUCCCCAACCUGUUGUCCUUGCCUUCUUGUGCACACCUCAGAGGUACACAUAAAACUCUGCCCCACGGCCCCUCCCCACUGCUCUUCCCUCUACUACAUUUCAGGAGCUAGGAACUAACAGGAGCUCUGCCUGCCUCAAAUGAAAACUUCAGCGAGGCCAUCACUCCCACACCCACACCCUGCAAUAGCACCAAUCCUAAAAGAAAUCCCCCCCACACACAACUGCCUGCUCUUUAGAGGGCAUUAGACAUAACACUUCCCACUGAACACACAUCUAAUUUGCUCACGCAGAGAUAGUCACUCCAAGUAGAAACUAUUCUAGCGUUGAUUCUGCAUGUUCAAAACACUCACGCAAAGAGAGAGGGAGACAGACAGAGAGAGACAGAGAGACAGAAGGAGGGAGACAGAGUCGGAGACAGACAGAGAAGUAGAAGAAGAGAGGGACAGAGAAAGCGAGAGAGGAAAGGAAGUUUUCAUAGACCACUAGGGCUAGAAGAGACCUCCUUUUAAUUUUUUCAAUAGUUAUAGGUCAAUUGGGGUUUUGUAUUAUUUCUGAGUCAAUUUUGGUAAUAUGCUUUAAUAGGAAAUUGUCCACUUAAAUUUUCAACUUUAUGGUAUAAGGUUAUUUAAGUUAUCCCAAUAAUUUUAAACUCUUAUGUUUAUAGUUGUCCUUUUUUUCAUGGUUUGUUCAUGCUUAAUUUUUCUGCAGAUAUCCAGUAGUCUUUAAAGAACAAGCUUUUGGCUUUCGACAAUCCUCAGUUGAAUCUUUGUUUCUGUUUCAUUAAUCCCUUCUGAUACUAUUACUUCUCCCCUCUCUCUACUUUCUUUAUCUUUACUCUUGUAUUUCCCCUAACUUCCUAAGUUGGGGAUUUAGCUCAUUGAUAUAAAUAUUUCUUUUCUUUUCUAAUUGUAAUGCCCAUUCUCAGACAGACAAUUACACAAUCACAGCAAACCUCCCUUGAAUCAGCUUCACUUAGAAGAAUACGAACAAGAAACACAGCAUGCCUUCAGGCCAGGAUCAGACACUGCUCUUCAUAGCAGUCCUCACAGUAGUUCAAGGACUAGUGUCUUGUUUUUAAAAUGAGGAAAUUGAGACCUAGAGAAAGAAACAGUUUGACAAAAAUCAACAGCAAGCUGGACCUAGACCCUAGGUCCUUUGUCUCUUUUCUCUGUUGUACUAAUUGGAAAACUAAGAUAACUGUUUAAGUAGUCGCUGUACCUCCCAUAGUGUCAUAAUAUCUUUGACUCUCUGCUUCAGUUUCUUCAUCUGUCAACUAGAAAUACCAUCCUUCCCGGCCAGGUGCAGUGGCUCACGCCUGUAAUCCCAGCACUUUGGGAGGCCGAGGCGGGAGGAUCACCUGAGGUCGGGCAUUCGAGACCAGCCUGACCAACAUGGAGAAACCCCGUCUCUACUAAAAAAAAUACAAAAUUAGCCGGUCCUGGUGGCACAUGCCUGUAAUCCCAGCUACUCGGGAGGUUGAGGCAGGAGAAUAGCUUGAACCCGGGAGGCGGAGGUUGCGGUGAGCCGAAAUUGUGCCACUGCACUCCAGCCUGGGCAACAAGGGCGAAACUCUGUCUCCAAAAAACAAAAAGAAAGAAAGAAAGAAAAAAAAAGAAAUACGAUCCUUUUCUUGUCCCUCCCAGAUCACAAUCUUUGGAAAAAAAAGAGCCGCCCAUAUUUAAGAGUUUUUGUUUGGUUGUUUGGAUGUGUUGUUAGGGAUGUGUCGGGGUAGAUGUGUGCUGAGUCGGCUGGUGGGGGAGGUGGAGGUUAUUGUGGGUAAGUAUCAUUAAAAACUGACCCUGCUCAUGAUGGAAUCUGGUUGAGGUCAAGAUAUCUUGGUUUGCAUGAUCCAUGAUCUUAGCGUUUAUCAUUUAAAAUUAGCACUAAAGUGAGUUCCCCACAUAUAAGUAACUUUUAGCUCUUAAAAUUACAUCAGUGGGUACAGCAGGUCCCCAUAGAAUUCAACAGAGGAGAGAAGUUUUGCUCA
rnacentral:lncRNA from 1 species